rnacentral:rRNA from 1 species
UGUGUAUCAGUACAUGGCAUAUCAAUAAGCGGAGGAAAAGAAACUAACAAGGAUUCCCCUAGUAACGGCGAGUGAAGCGGGAAGAGCUCAAAUUUGAAAUCUUAAAGGGUUUCCCUUUAGCGAUUGUAGUUUAAAGAAGUGUUUUCUGUUGGAAGUUUCGGUAAAAGUUCUUUGGAAAUAGGACAUCAUAGAGGGUGAGAAUCCCGUAUUUGACCAUUAUUUCCAGCUGUGUGAUACACUUUCAAAGAGUCGGAUUGUUUGGGAAUGCAGUCCAAAAUGGGUGGUAAAUUUCAUCUAAAGCUAAAUAUUGGCGAGAGACCGAUAGCGAUCAAGUACCGUGAGGGAAAGAUGAAAAGAACUUUGAAAAGAGAGUUAAACAGUACGUGAAAUUGUCAAAAGGGAAGCGUUUGACACCAGUGUUGUUUUCUCGAAAAUCAAUUAAAAAAUGAUUGGAUUUUGUGUUGUAUUGACUUUAUCAGCUUUCUGCACUCUUUUCUUGUCUUUUUUAAUGCACUUUUCGUUUAACAAGUCAACAUCAAUUUCUUUUGUUGUAAAAGAGUCAUUGGAAGGUGGCUUUCUUUUCGGAGAAAGUGUUUAUAGCCUUUGGCUUCUGCAAUCGGAGAGAUUGAGGUCUGCAGCGUAGAUCCUUCGGGGUUAGAUACAUUUGUGCUAAGUUAUAGCCUUUCAUAGACAACUUGUUGACUAUGAUCAGUCAUGUAGCUUACUCGCUUAUGCUAUUUUACCUACGCUUAGGAUGUUGACAGCAGUAUAGACUGU